rnacentral:rRNA from 1 species
CGUCUAUAUACGUAUAGCAUAUCAAUAAGCGGAGGAAAAGAAACUAACUAGGAUUCCCUCAGUAACGGCGAGUGAAGCGGGAAGAGCUCAAAUUUGAAAUCUUCAAGGUUCUACCUUGACGAAUUGUAGUUUAAAGAAGUGUUUUCUGUUGGAGUUUUGGUAAAAGUUCUUUGGAAUAGGACAUCAUAGAGGGUGAGAAUCCCGUAUUUGACCAUUAUUUCCAACUUUGUGAUACACUUUCAAAGAGUCGGAUUGUUUGGGAAUGCAGUCCAAAAUGGGUGGUAAAUUUCAUCUAAGGCUAAAUACUGGCGAGAGACCGAUAGCGAACAAGUACCGUGAGGGAAAGAUGAAAAGAACUUUGAAAAGAGAGUUAAACAGUACGUGAAAUUGUCAAAAGGGAAGCGUUUGACACCAGUGUUGUUUUCUCGAAAAUCAAUUAAAAAUGGCGGGAUUUUGUGUUGUAUUGACUUUAUCAGCUUUCUGCACUUUUUUCCUGUCUUUUUUAAUGCACUUUUCGUUUAACAAGUCAACAUCAAUUUCUUUUGUUGUAAAAGGGUCAUUGGAAGGUGGCUUUCUUUUCGGAGAAAGUGUUUAUAGCCUUUGACUUCUGCAGUCGGAGAGAUUGAGGUCUGCAGCGUAGAUCCUUCGGGGUUAGAUACAUUUGUGCUAAGUUAUAGCCUUUCAUAGACAACUUGUUGACUAUGAUCAGUCAUGUAGCUUACUCGCUUAUGCUAUUUUACCUACGCUUAGGAUGUUGACGAUCAGCUGAGCGCG